GUGACGAACUAGAUGAAUGGCUAAGGAAAAAUGUUGAUAAAUCUGCUGCAGAGGGGGAGAACCGAGCUGACCUGCAAUCGAUAGAAGGUCGCUAUGUGUCGUCUGAAACAAUACCGGCUGUGAACUUGGGAAGUGAUGGUCCUUCCUCUCAAGGGCGCACACAACAGAGUAGUGUAAACCAAC